rnacentral:rRNA from 1 species
UGCGUAGGCGGCUUACUAAGUCAGAUGUGAAAGCCCCGGGCUUAACCUGGGAACUGCAUUUGAUACUGGUAGGCUAGAGUAUGAUAGAGGGGGGUAGAAUUCCUGGUGUAGCGGUGAAAUGCGUAGAUAUCAGGAGGAAUACCAGUGGCGAAGGCCGGCCCCCUGGAUCAAUACUGACGCUGAGGUACGAAAGCGUGGGUAGCGAACA